UACGGAGGGGGCUAGCGUUGUCCGAAGUUACUGGGCGUAAAGCGCGCGUAGGCGGGUUGGUAAGUCCGCUGUGAAAGCCCGGAGCUCAACUCCGGAGGGUCGGUGGAUACUGCCAGUCUUGAAGGUGCUAGGGGGAGAUGGAAUUACCGGUGUAGCGGUGAAAUGCGUAGAUAUCGGUAGGAACACCAGUGGCGAAGGCGACUUACUGGACACAUAUUGACGCUGAGGUGCGAAAGCGUGGGGAGCAAACAGG
rnacentral:rRNA from 1 species